rnacentral:rRNA from 1 species
AUGAGGAAGAGGCUGAUGCGAUCCUUAAAAUUCCCAUUUUUGAACGCCAUGAGGAUUUUCUUGCGUGGCAGUUCGAUAGCAAGGGACCCUUCUCAGCGCGGUCUGCAACUCUGCAUACAGAGUUCAUUGUCAAAUCAUAAAGAUGAUGUUCUGUUUGCUGCUGCUCGCAAGCUAGACCACAUGAGUGAAGCCCUGCAUGCUGAAGCUACUGCUCUGAUGCGCUCUAUCAGCCUAGCUGAGGAACAUGGCAUGGGGCGUGUUAUCUUUGAGACGGACUACCUGGGGCUUGUGCAAGCCAUUAUCACAACUGAAAGCUGA